GGAGGACGCCGGGUCGUCGCGGCGCGCGAGCGUCGAGGAACGUCCGGGCUCCAUCGGGCAGGGUGCAGGAUAACGUCCUGUCGGGGCAACUCGAAGGAAAGUGCCACAGAAACAUACCGCCGAUGCGCUUCGGUGCAUCGGUAAGGGUGAAAUCGUGCGGUAAGAGCGCACGGCGCUCCGCGGUGACGCGGGCGCGGGUAAACCCCACCUGGAGCAAGACCGCUCGACUCGUGUCCUUCGGGGCACUCGCCGGCCCGGCGAAACGAGCAACGUCGCAACGAGGUCGGCCGUGAGGCCGGCCCCAGAGAGAUGACGACCACGGCCUCUUCGGGGGCUUUGACAGAAUCCGGCGUACAGGCGUCCUCCGCGC
rnacentral:RNase_P_RNA from 1 species